rnacentral:rRNA from 2 species
CAUGCAAGUCGAACGCUUCUUUUUCCACCGGAGCUUGCUCCACCGGAAAAAGAGGAGUGGCGAACGGGUGAGUAACACGUGGGUAACCUGCCCAUCAGAAGGGGAUAACACUUGGAAACAGGUGCUAAUACCGUAUAACAAUCAAAACCGCAUGGUUUUGAUUUGAAAGGCGCUUUCGGGUGUCGCUGAUGGAUGGACCCGCGGUGCAUUAGCUAGUUGGUGAGGUAACGGCUCACCAAGGCCACGAUGCAUAGCCGACCUGAGAGGGUGAUCGGCCACAUUGGGACUGAGACACGGCCCAAACUCCUACGGGAGGCAGCAGUAGGGAAUCUUCGGCAAUGGACGAAAGUCUGACCGAGCAACGCCGCGUGAGUGAAGAAGGUUUUCGGAUCGUAAAACUCUGUUGUUAGAGAAGAACAAGGAUGAGAGUAACUGUUCAUCCCUUGACGGUAUCUAACCAGAAAGCCACGGCUAACUACGUGCCAGCAGCCGCGGUAAUACGUAGGUGGCAAGCGUUGUCCGGAUUUAUUGGGCGUAAAGCGAGCGCAGGCGGUUUCUUAAGUCUGAUGUGAAAGCCCCCGGCUCAACCGGGGAGGGUCAUUGGAAACUGGGAG